GGAAAUGACUCCAGGCUCGGCCAGUCAGCCACAGGCCAGCCUCAAGUCUACCUACUGCUGCCCAGUGGCUCUCGGGGUGGGGGUGGGGGGGCGGUGUCCCUGCCCCUUGGGCUUUCUUCACUGUGCCAAAUGGCUCCAGUAGGAGGGGGUCCAGUCCAAUUUCCUGACGCCUCUCUCCUUUUUCUAUGUCACAGCUGUCUCUGCUUUUGGCAAAAAGUUCUCCUCAUUCUGGUGACCAUGCCCUGCAGGGCUCUUGAAGAGAUGAAGGGAGAUGAUAUCAUUGCUGUGGAAAAAUCUCUGGAGUCAGAGGCCUGGGCACAGCUCUGGACUCUGCGUAUAACACAUCUGCGAUCUGGCAAACCCUUGGCCCAAAGACUCACAGCAGGUGGGACGUGGCAGGCAGGCCUCAGUUGAGGACGGGAUGUUUUCUAACAGCAGCUGCCC
rnacentral:lncRNA from 1 species